AAAACUUCAUGAAAAAUCUUCUCUUACAGGUUAUGUAUUUGAGAAUCUCAAGAAGAAUGGAGCUCCACAGAAUUAGAAAGGCACGAAUUCAUCGUGCCUUUGGUGCAUCCAAACCAAGAUAGCAGCAUGCAUAUAGCCAUGUCAUGGUUAGAAUUGGAAGGUGUUGGAUUGACCAAUGAUACCGGAUUUUACUAUGGGCGGAAACUAUGGCACCGGUCUUCAGUGAGGUUGCAGUUUUGAUCUUAUGCUGUUGGUCUUGACUUGGUUUAGCAGAGGCAUACUAUGGUUGAAGUUGCUGUAAAUCACUUCAGGAUUGAGGAAACUGGAUAAAUCUAGAUUGAAGCUUCCAAAAAGUGUUCAAGAUUUCCUUCUUCAGGACUGAAUCCUACAAGAAAUGAGCUGCAGACCGUUUCAUGAUAA